rnacentral:rRNA from 1 species
AGUGAACGCUGGCGGUAGGCCUAACACAUGCAAGUCGAACGGCAGCACAGUAAGAGCUUGCUCUUACGGGUGGCGAGUGGCGGACGGGUGAGGAAUACAUCGGAAUCUACUUUUUCGUGGGGGAUAACGUAGGGAAACUUACGCUAAUACCGCAUACGACCUACGGGUGAAAGCAGGGGAUCUUCGGACCUUGCGCGAUUGAAUGAGCCGAUGUCGGAUUAGCUAGUUGGCGGGGUAAAGGCCCACCAAGGCGACGAUCCGUAGCUGGUCUGAGAGGAUGAUCAGCCACACUGGAACUGAGAAAAGGUCCAGACUCCUACGGGAGGCAGCAGUGGGGAAGAUUGGACAAUGGGCGCAAGCCUGAUCAAGCCAUACCGCGUGGGUGAAGAAGGCCUUCGGGUUGUAAAGCCCUUUUGUUGGGAAAGAAAAGCAGCAGGUUAAUACCCCGCUGUUCUGACGGUACCCAAAGAAUAAGCACCGGCUAACUUCGUG